CCGAAAGGUUUGGACUGCGUCUCCCGGCAGGCCGCGCGCCUGGGCGGGCGGGGCACGUGGUCGUUGUCGCGUCGCGCCCUCCCUGCCUCGCCCUCGCGGGUCUUCUGCGUUUGCUGGCGCCUGCCAGGCGUCGUCUCCGACGUUACGGCGGCCGCGCGGCCCUCUCCCUUGGGCUCUGCCCUGCGCAGCCCUGGUUCGAGCGGGCCAGUGAGGCCCGGCGCCCUCCCCGCCUCGCCACGAGGAUCCACCGCGGCCGCCCAGGCUUCUAGCCUUGUCGUCACGGCACGGAGAUAAGCCCGCGCUGGCCACAUCGCGAAGCCCCUGCCCUCACUCUCCAUGAUGGCUCAGCACAGGAGAAAGUGGGCUUCCUGCAAGCGGAGCUGUGCCCAGGACCAUGCCAGCCCACGGCAGGCGCUCAGUAAUGUUUGUUGAAUGAAUGUGUAAAUGCAUGAAGAUAAUAUAUGUAUUUAAUGCAUGUAAAUAGAUGCCUGCUGCAUCUCUGGCCUUCGUGUGGUCAGUAAUCGCUGCACUUUUCCGAAGUGCCUAGAAGAGGCUGGGAGCAGUGGCUCACACCUGUAAUCCCAGCACUUUGGGAGGCUGAGGCAGGCAGAUCACUUGAGGUUGGGAGUUCGGGGCCAGCCUAGCCAACAUGGUGAAACUUCAUCUCUACUAAAAAUACAAAAAUUAGCCAGGCAUGGUAGUGCGUGCCUGUAGUCCCAGCUACUAGGGAGGCUGAGUCAGGAGAAUCGCUUGAACCUGGGAGUUGGAGGUUGCUGUGAGUCAAGAUCAUGCCACAGUACUCCAGCCUGGGAGACCGAGCAAGGCUCUGCCUCAAAAAACAAAUUAAUAAAAGUGCCUAGAAGAGUUUUUCAGCCUUUGC
rnacentral:lncRNA from 10 species